UACGUAGGGGGCGAGCGUUGUCCGGAUUUACUGGGCGUAAAGGGUGAGUAGGCGGUUGUAUAAGUCAGAUGUAAAAGGCACAGGCUUAACUUGUGUAAGCAUUUGAAACUGUACAACUUGAGUGCAGGAGAGGUAAGUGGAAUUCCUAGUGUAGCGGUGAAAUGCGUAGAUAUUAGGAGGAACACCAGUGGCGAAGGCGACUUACUGGACUGUAACUGACGCUGAGUCACGAAAGCGUGGGUAGCAAAUAGG
rnacentral:rRNA from 1 species